GUCUACAGCCAUGCCACCCUGAACAAGCCCAAUCCUGUCUGAUCUUGGAAGUUAAGCAGGGUAGGGCCUGGUUAGUACUUGGAUGGGAGACCACCUAGGAAGACCAGGUGCUGUA
rnacentral:rRNA from 1 species